CAGUAAGCGAGACAAUCUGGUUUUCACCCUUGCUUUUAUUUUGCAAACCAGUUCUCUACAUCCAAAGAAGCAUUCCUGCGAAGAGUGCGUGUGCAGCUAGUGAGUCAACAAUGUUUAGUCUGAACUAAGUGAAGAAUAAGUAUUUUUUUUUUGUCAUUGUUCUUGAGCCACGUCUAGUUAUGGGAGAAAGCUGAAAUUUUAUCUUGCAUUCAACAUUUGAUACUUUUAAAUCUGUUCUUCUUUUCCCAUCCAUGCUUCUCUCAUUUGAUUUGAUUGAUUAUUUAUAUUUAAUGAAUUAAAAAAAAAAAAUUACAAAUUUUCUUCGCUAAAAACUAAACUAAAUACUUAUUUUGCAAAUGACUAAUGGUUCCGCAAAUUUUUUUUUUUUAAAUCAAAAUGUGCAAAACAAGUACUACUUUUUUUAUUUUGAAAGCUUUCUCUUCGAUUAAGAAAAAAUUAUUUUAUGUUCCUGUUAGAGUGGUCUUGUUAUCCACAAUGCUCGGAGACGGUGUGGUCAAUGGUUCGUCGGUCUGCUGGACUCUGAACUGAAGCAAGAUGAUAAGACUGCUCAGUGGGCGAAAAACGUACAUUGGUCAGCCAACUGCGGUUGAUACAAACGAAGCCGCCAAUGUCAACGACGUGAGGCGCGGCGACGGCCACGUCCAAAAAAGUCGACAUCUGCAAAAGUGAAAUCCACCUUUCAGCACAAGAUGAAAAUAAAAUUAAAAAAUAUAUGUGCUCUCGCCAGUAAACUGAUACACGUAUUUAAAAGGAGGUGCUGAAAGCUGAACACACUUAAUGUAUGAACUUUCGAACCUCUCGCCUCACUGCCUCCGCCGUCUCGAUGGACGGUAUUAGGAAAAAAGGGUCCCAUUGAAUGUCUUCAAACUGGAAAUAAGAAUGGUUCAACUUUUCAAACCGG